rnacentral:lncRNA from 1 species
GUACACUUUUAUAAUUCAAGAGCGGAUGCAAAGAACCUGUCUUACUGUCUAUGCACUGGUUGAGCUUGGUGGCUCAGGGAAGAAGCUCCAGCUUGGCGCUGGCUCUGUCAGAGCCCUGGCCUGGAGCCCAGGUGCAUGGUAAACACUUUGUCAUCUUAGUGGGUUCUUGAUCUUCGACUCUGCUGUGAUUUAGAGGUAAAACCCCUGCCUCUGCCCACAGCCUAACACUCCAACUUGGUUCCUCUCUGCUCCACAUACUAGGAUCAGCAGGCUUAUCUUGGAAAGACUCCUUGGAAAGAUAAGUAAGUUUAUCUUGGAAAGAGUCCAGCAGAGAAUUCCGGCCCUACCCCAACACCCUGAUACAGUAUACACGAGGAGCCAUAACUCCUGAUCCAGGAAUCAUUUCUGCAGCAAUCACCCUGGGUGGCAGAGCUGGCUGUCCAGAUGGCUGGGAUUGUAUUUCAAGAACAUGUCACUUUCUAAAGAGAACUCCAGCUUGUUGUAGAAUUUCUGGUGCACCCCUGCAGCCACUGAGCCUUUGGAGAUGAAGCUUCAAGGCUAGAGGCAACUCUGGAAGCCUGAGCAUGAUUACAUUGUUGAAUAAAACACAGAGACAACAACUUUAAUUAUUAUGAAGAUGCAUCACUCUUAUACAAUAUUCAACAUUAGUUAAAUCCAAUUACAAUCACCCAGCAUCCAGCGAUCUUCUUCAAAGCCAUUUCCACAAGGUAACAAAUGAGCCAUCUUGCAAACUCAUCAAAAGAAAGGAAAAGCCUUCUUGUGGUCAGCUGAGCCUCAAACCUGCUGUCAAGAAGGUAAACUGGAUACUGGAUGGAGGGCCCUGAGGGAGAGGAGGAGGGACAAUCAAGAGCUAGAAGUGAAUACUCCGAAGGUUCUGAGGAGCUGAGAACGGUGGUGCAGGAAGACAUAGAGCAGGAAGACAGCACCAGCUCUGAGCCUGGCCAGCCUGGUCUACAAGUUCUAGGACACCCAAGGCUACUCUGA